GAUGAAGAACGUAGCGAAAUGCGAUACGUAAUGUGAAUUGCAGAAUUCAGUGAGUCAUCGAAUCUUUGAACGCAUAUUGCGCUCUCUGGUAUUCCGGAGAGCAUGCUUGUUUGAGUAUCAGUAAACACCUCAACUCCCUUUUCUUUUUUGAAAUGGGAGCUGGACUUGAGUGAUCCCAACACUUUUCUCACUGGAAAGUGGCGGGUCACUUGAAAUGCAGGUGCAGCUGGACUUUUCUCUGAGCUAUAAGCAUAUCUAUUUAGUCUGCCUAAAAAACAGAUUAUUACCUUUGCUGCAGCUAACAUAAAGGAGAUGAGUUCUUGUGCUGACUGAUGCAGGAUUCACAGAGACAGCUUUGCGGCUGACUUUGUAAACUCGAUCUCAAAUCAAGUAAGACUACCCGCUGAACUUAAGCAUAUCAAUAGCGGAGGA
rnacentral:misc_RNA from 1 species